CAUGAUGAAGAAAUAUGUAAUCACGUUCUAUAGUUGGUGAGGGCAUAAUUUAUGAUAAUGGAUUACACAAGGGUUUUGAAAGUAUUCUGAAGUAAGUAAUGAAUUAUGGAUUAUACUAUAGAUUGUUAUAGAGGCAUGAGUAAGACAUGAUUUAUAGUUGGUUAUAUUGGGGUGAAUUUAAGAAUUGUGGUGUUAUGACAUUGC
rnacentral:lncRNA from 1 species